GCGCUCGGCCUGGGGCGGCGGCGCGGCGGGGGCGGUAGGGGCGGCCGUGAGGGGGGGGAGGCGGGGGCGGCGGGGGCAGAGGAGGAGGAGGAGGAGCGGGGGAGGACCGACGGGAGGAGGGCCCGCCGCUGGCCAACUCUGCCGGCUGGCGAGGCCACCCUGGGCUGGCUCUGGCCCCGCCGGCUGCAGGAGCGCGUCGCGGGGCCGCCCGCCUAUUCCAUGGUCCGCGCACUAGGGACCGGGGCUGGGGCUGGGGCCUGGCCGGAGCGCGCAGGGAGCAUCGAGGGAGCUAGAAGCAUGAGCUAGUGCAGCUCCCCGCAGCCUGCAGCAGAGAGGAUGGUCCGGCCAGGGUCGGCGGCAGAGGGUCGCGCGGGCGGGGGCAAUGCCUGGGACACAGGCCGGCCCUGGCAGGCACGGCGGGGAGGGGGCCCGCGGGGAGGAGACUGGGCUGGGGAGGGAGCCCUGUGUGCAGUCCUUCAACUCUUCCGUGCCAGGGGAAGGGGGACGGAGCAGGGGGGCCCCCUCUCGGGAAGCACACACGCUGCCUCCCAGAGGCCGGUCUUCUUCAGGAAGGAUUCGCUGGAAACUUUCGGAAAAACCGAGGGGUUCUUCAGUACCUCUCUAUUUGCUGCCUGGAGUCAGCGCGCCGCGAGUGCUCUUGGCUGCCGGCGCCUAGCCGCUGGCCUCGCCUCCUCUCGCGGGCCUCCAGGGUUUCCCUCUGCCCCCUUGCGGGGAUCCCCCUGUGCGCCCUGUUCGCGAUUUGGAAUAGGCCUCCCCACAAGCUAUUGGUUCCGCAAGGGUGUCCGGGCUCCCCCCUCUGGCCUGGGUUCACACUUCGCUUUCUGUUCCUGCUGGACCAAGCCCAACACUGUGGCUGAUGGAAGUGGGGACAGCUGGCACUGUCCCUGGAGAAGCGGUCUGAAGAGGCUCCUGGACUUCUGCAGUUCUGCCUUUAGGACAAAGAAUACAAAGCCUCCCACGACUGUAUUCGCUAACUCUCAGCCCAGGCCCGAUCUUCUACCAGCCAGUGAAUGGAGCCUCAUCUGUGCCCAGACCAGGUGCAACUCGGUGCCCUCCUGUGAUACUUCCAGCUCUCCAGCCCAGACCUCAUGGAGCAGUUUCCAGGUUAUGUCUCUAUAA
rnacentral:lncRNA from 1 species